UGCUGCAGAGGAGGGUUUGUCAGCAAAGCCCACCCCAGCAGCUUCAGGAUGGAGUAGAUCAGCUCUGGGGGAUGUGGUGAGCUGCGUCGUGGGGUAACCUUUUGUUUCUUGCAGAGGCCAAACUGAGCAGUUUCUGGCAGUUGAUUGUGGAUGAGAAAAAGCAGGUUUUCACUUCUGAGAAAUUCCUGGUCAUGGCUUCAGAGGAUGCCCUGUGUACUGUGUUGCAUCUGACAGAGAGACUUUUCCUUGACCACCCGC
rnacentral:lncRNA from 1 species